AGUGGCGGACGGGUGAGUAAUGUCUGGGAAACUGCCUGAUGGAGGGGGAUAACUACUGGAAACGGUAGCUAAUACCGCAUAACGUCGCAAGACCAAAGAGGGGGACCUUCGGGCCUCUUGCCAUCGGAUGUGCCCAGAUGGGAUUAGCUUGUUGGUGGGGUAACGGCUCACCAAGGCGACGAUCCCUAGCUGGUCUGAGAGGAUGACCAGCCACACUGGAACUGAGACACGGUCCAGACUCCUACGGGAGGCAGCAGUGGGGAAUAUUGCACAAUGGGCGCAAGCCUGAUGCAGCCAUGCCGCGUGUAUGAAGAAGGCCUUCGGGUUGUAAAGUACUUUCAGCGGGGAGGAAGGGAGUAAAGUUAAUACCUUUGCUCAUUGACGUUACCCGCAGAAGAAGCACCGGCUAACUCCGUGCCAGCAGCCGCGGUAAUACGGAGGGUGCAAGCGUUAAUCGGAAUUACUGGGCGUAAAGCGCACGCAG
rnacentral:rRNA from 1 species